UACGUAGGGUGCAAGCGUUGUCCGGAAUUAUUGGGCGUAAAGGGCUCGUAGGCGGUCCAUCGCGUCGGGAGUGAAAAGCUGGGGCUUAACCCCAGUCCUGCUUCCGAUACGGGUGGACUAGAGGUAGGUAGGGGAGAACGGAAUUCCUGGUGUAGCGGUGAAAUUCGUAGAUAUCGGGAGGAACACCGGUGGCGAAGGCGGCCCGCUGGCCAGCGACUGACGCUGAGACGCGAAAGCGUGGGGAGCAAACAGG
rnacentral:rRNA from 1 species